CCUGGUAUCCAAAACCGUGUCCUGACCCCAGAUCUAGUACCUGGCCUAGCUGGCUGGCAGGGCAGGCUCAGUGCUGCCCAGGCCUCCCCCUGCUGGGUGCUGAAGAUGAAAGCCACCACUGAUAACAUCAGAGGGAGCCCAGCUCUGCUUAAUCAACACACUUUCACAUCUGUAAUCUUACAGGGAGGUAACAUUACUUACUGUGUUGCUGUAGAGGCAGCAAAACUACUGGAAACUCACAUCUUCCACCUGCCAGCCCCCAUCCCACCCUCUGCAUUGAGGACAGAAGAAAACAGGCCCCGGAGGAAGAAUUACUUUUCAUCUCUGCAAAGCCUUGAGAGCUGUGGUAGGCACUGGUUCCAAGGAAGAAGGCGAAACAGAAGCUUGGAGUGCUGGAUCAACUUGCCGGGAUCGCACUGGACCUAGCAGUGGCAGCGCUGCCCUGAUGCCCAAGGUUUUUCCAGGAAGCUGCCGCCUCCUGUCCUGGUCCUGAGCUUUGUCUUCUCAAGGGCUAUGCUACCUGUGUUCUCUUUGGCAGCUGCUCAAACAACCUCAAUAUCCUGACACAAGGUGGCACUUCAUUUGAGGAGCUGCAGCGCAGGGCUGGGAGGAAAAAGCUGUCAACAGAUAACAGGCAUCACUUUCUUAGGAAGCUGUGGUUUUCCAGCCUCAGGGAGUGAAAAAAUCUUUCUCAAAGUGAAGAGCUGCUGUCAAUUCCUCAGUCUGCUGCCCUGCUUCCCUGGGCUGCAUCUCUGCCUGUCUGAAUCUGACCCAUUCUUCAAAGCCCAACUUAAAUGCCACUUCCUCCAUGGAGCCUUUUCUGAUUUUUUCCUUCCUCCCAGGCUCCUCCUCCCUGCCAUGCUGGGUAUGACCCACCUUCUUCCAAAUACACUCAUUUGCUGUGACUGUCCUUAAAGAGUUAAAUAGUUGACUUCUCUGAGCCUUAAUUACUUCCUUUCUAAAACUGAAAUAAUAUCUGCCUUUUAUAUCUGGCUGUAAUGAGUUAAAAGAAAUAAUAUAUGUAAGUCACAGUCCUAGGCACACAGAAUGCUCUUACAUAUGUUAGUCUGGUGUUAUCACACUCAAAUGUACACCCGCACAGCCCUGCACAUUCACACGCAGAUUUUCUGUGUAUGUGUUAGGACCCUUAUUCUUUCUACCGCCUAUAAUAAUUAUGUGUGUAGGUUCCUGGGGUGGGGGUAGGGAAAUAGGGUGUAGUGAAAAGAAACAGGAUUUGGAAUAAAAAAUGUGGGUCUUCCCCUCAACCAGCUGUGUGACUGAGGUCAAGUUUACUUCUCCUCCCUGAGUUUCUUCCUUCAUGAAAGAGAGAUAACAAA